UACGAAGGGUGCUAGCGUUGAUCGGAAUCACUGGGCGUAAAGCGCACGUAGGCGGCUUUUUAAGUCAGGGGUGAAAUCCUGGAGCUCAACUCCAGAACUGCCUUUGAUACUGAGAAGCUUGAGUCCGGGAGAGGUGAGUGGAACUGCGAGUGUAGAGGUGAAAUUCGUAGAUAUUCGCAAGAACACCAGUGGCGAAGGCGGCUCACUGGCCCGGUACUGACGCUGAGGUGCGAAAGCGUGGGGAGCAAACAGG
rnacentral:rRNA from 1 species